rnacentral:lncRNA from 10 species
AUCAUCUGGUUUCUGUUCCAAAGCCUUAGUCAGCUCCUACAAAAACAAACAUGUUGAGUGUCAGUAAAAGUUUUUUAAAAGCCAUCAAAUAAAUUCUAAUUAAAACAUCAUUUUUAAACAAAUAACUUAUGAUCAGAAACUACUUGGAGGAAAGAUAACAGGGAUGUAAUCUUGGAGUUUUUCCUCGUAAGAGGAUCUCCCCGGUUUCUCGCGGUCCUGCUAAAACGCUGUCAACCUAACGCUCCACCAGAGAGGCCCGUUGGCUUCUCGGGAGGCGACCGAGGGAGCUCAGGAGGCGGGGAGGCUUUUACAAGAAGCGAAAGGACGGCCUCAGGGGUGGCCGGGAACAGCCUGGAAUCAGCUGGAGGACAUCAGCAGGACUGAGGAAAGGGCCACCACCAGCGUGAGGAAAGGGGGGAGAGGGCAGAACGCGGCGAAUGGCCGCGCUCGAGGGCUGGCGGGGUCCCAGCGAGCAGCGGCUGGGAAACAAUGGCGCGAGCGUGACGUGGGCCGGAGGCGCCGCCGCGGCGCGGAGGAAGGGGCUGCCGUGGGACUGUAGAGUCUGUAGAGUCUUUUGGAAUUUAUGUGAUUACAAUCUUGCAGUCUGUGAAUAGAGAUGGUUUAACUUUCCUGUAAUCUUUAUACCUUUUAGUUUUGUUGCUGGCUAGUAUGUCCACUAUUGAAUAGAAAUAGUGAUAAUGGACUUCCUUGUCUUGGUUGUAAAAUCAAGAGGAAAGCAUUCAAUAUCAAGUGCUUUUUCUACCUUUAUUGAAAU